rnacentral:rRNA from 1 species
CCCUUAGAUGUUCUGGGCCGCACGCGCGCUACACUGAUGCAUUCAACAAGCCUAGCCUUGACCGAGAGGUCCGGGUAAUCUUUGAAACUGCAUCGUGAUGGGGCUAGAUUAUUGCAAUUAUUAAUCUUCAACGAGGAAUGCCUAGUAAGCGUGAUUCAUCAAAUCGCGUUGAUUACGUCCCUGCCCUUUGUACACACCGCCCGUCGCUCCUACCGAUUGAAUGUGUUGGUGAGGAGCUCGGAUUGGCAGCAGUUGGUGGUUCGCCACCGGCUAUUGCUGAGAAGUCCUCCAAACCGCCCCAUUUAGAGGAAGGAGAAUUCGUAACA